rnacentral:rRNA from 1 species
GUGCCAGCAGCCGCGGUAAUACGUAGGGUGCGAGCGUUAAUCGGAAUUACUGGGCGUAAAGCGUGCGCAGGCGGUUAUAUAAGACAGAUGUGAAAUCCCCGGGCUCAACCUGGGACCUGCAUUUGUGACUGUAUAGCUAGAGUACGGUAGAGGGGGAUGGAAUUCCGCGUGUAGCAGUGAAAUGCGUAGAUAUGCGGAGGAACACCGAUGGCGAAGGCAAUCCCCUGGACCUGUACUGACGCUCAUGCACGAAAGCGUGGGGAGCAAACAGGAUUAGAAACCCGAGUAGUCC